UCUCACUCUGUGGCCCAGGCUGGAGUGUGGUGGCACUAUCACAGUUCAUUACAGCCUCAACGUCUCGGACUCAGAUGAUCCUGCCACCUCAAUCUCCCAAGUAGUUGGGACCACAGGUUGACAACCCUUGAAUCUGUGGACAAGUCACAUAAAUCUAAAAGUUUAUACUGUCCACAGUCCUUUCCUUUGGUCCUAAUAUCAGCGCCAACGUGGAUUCACAGCCAAAAGGAGUUCAUGAUGCAUCUCCCAUGGAAAGAGCUUAUACCUCAAACCCACAAGGCUCCCCUCUACAUUCACCACAUGGAGAACAGACCAGCCAAAACCUCUCAGGAGUAAGGAAAGCCAAAGGAGAAACCUCAGGAAGGGCUGGACUGGGCACAUUUGGUUUCCUUGAAGUCACUUAUUAGAUAACUAAGCUAACUCUUCCUCAUGACAGAGAAGAGUGGCUUGGGUCUCUCCCCGCAGGAAGACAUGGCCAGGGGAAUGAAGGUUCUUCCUCGACAGGUGUACUGGAGAUAUUCUACAUCAAUGUUUUAGAAUUCUGUUUGUAAAUAAUGCCAGUUGAAAAUGAUGGUUUUUUUGUGUGUAACUAGUACAAUCCAAAUCAGACAUUUAUUGAACUCUCACUGUGUGUAAAGGAAAAUACUUACCUCUGUAGGAUAGAGGAUAAAGAACUACUAAGAUAAGCACAUAAUGCUUCACAAAAGUACUAAAAAAAAAAUUAAAAAAGUAAAACUGUCACCUUAGAAUUCUGUAUUACAUGAAAAUAUAUUUAUUUUUAUUCAUUUAUUUGCUUGUUUUUGAGACAGGGUCUCCCUCUGUCACCCAGGCGGGAGUGCAGUGGAGCAAUCACAGAUCACUACAGCCUUGACCUCCCAGGCUCAAGUGAUCCUCCCACCUCAUUAUUGUACAUUUUUAAAUGUACAAUAGAUUAUUGUUGAACUGGAAUCCAGCUAGAAUCCAAUUUUUAGAAACUCACUCUAAGGUAAUGAUUAAAAUAUCAGGUGUUAGUUCUAUAAAUCUGUCAUCUAGAUUAAAAACCAGAUGCUUCCAUUCCAGGGUGGAGUAUUUGCCAGUAACUCUCUGGAGAUCUGUCUUAUCUGUGACCAAGACAACGAAGCUUAAAAAAAGGCAAUAAUGUUGGAAAAAGACAUGAAUAUGGUCUGUAUUAAAUUGAUUCUACUUUUUAUUUAGUCAUGACUCUGGACUAACUUUCAAAAAGUAAAAUGUUAUGCCAGCCUAGCAAAUGUUCAUAUCAAAUUCCUCAUUGUUUUCUCUACUCUCCUUUGUCCUGCCCUCCACUUUUGUUUGCUUGGUGAGGCUCACCCUAAAAUAUGUAAAAAUAUGUAAAAUAUGUAAAAAAAAAAUUUAAAAAGCAAUGAUGUUCUGUUGGAAGAAACAAAGGAAAGAAAUAAAAGUUGCAUUUAAAGGGUACAGAAAGAAAUGAUUUUCCUUUUCUGCUUCAAAUGGG
rnacentral:lncRNA from 1 species